GAUGAAGAACGUAGUGAAAUGCGAUGAGUAAUGUGAAUUGCAGAAUUCAGUGAAUCAUCGAAUCUUUGAACGCACAUUGCGCCCGCCAGUAUUCUGGCGGGCAUGCCUGUUCGAGCGUCAUUACAACCCUCAGGCCCCCGGGCCUGGCGUUGGGGAUCGGCGGAGCCCCCCGUGGGCACACGCCGUCCCCCAAAUGCAGUGGCGGUCCCGCCGCAGCUUCCAUCGCGUAGUAGCUAACACCUCGCGACUGGAGAGCGGCGCGGCCACGCCGUAAAACACCCAACUCUUCUGAAGUUGACCUCGAAUCAGGUAGGAAUACCCGCUGAACUUAAGCAUAUCAAUAAGCGGAGGA
rnacentral:misc_RNA from 1 species